rnacentral:rRNA from 1 species
AGGCAUGCAAGUCGAUCGGCAGCGAGUCAGUAGCAAUACUGAUGUCGGCGAGAGGCGGACGGGUGAGUAAUGCGCAGGAAUCUACCUUCAGGACGGGGAUAGCCAGGGGAAACUCUGGGUAAUACCCGAUGAUACCGCAAGGUCAAACGCGCUGCAAGGCGCGGUCUGGAGAUGAGCCUGCGUCCCAUCAGCUAGUUGGCGGGGUAAAGGCCCACCAAGGCAAAGACGGGUAGGUGGUCUGAGAGGAUGAUCACCCACAAGGGAACUGAGACACGGUCCCUACUCCUACGGGAGGCGCAGCCAAGAAUCUUCCGCAAUGGGGGAAACCCUGACGGAGCGACGCCGCGUUAGGGAAGAAGGUCUUCGGAUUGUAAACCUCUUUUAUUGGGGAAGAAUAAGGAGCGAGGAAAUGCGUCUCCGAUGACGGUACCCAAUGAAUAAGCCCCGGCUAAUUACGUGCCAGCAGCCGCGGUAAUACGUAGCGGGCGAGCGUUGCUCGGAAUUACUGGGCGUAAAGGGCGUGUAGGCGGCCUAACAAGUCGAAUGUAAAAAACCACGGCUUAACCGUGGGGCUGCGUUCGAAACUGUCAGGCUUGAGUCUGGUGGAGGGUAAUGGAAUUCCCGGUGUAGCGGUGAAAUGCGUAGAUAUCGGGAAGAACACCGAAGGCGAAAGCAGUUAUCUAUGCCGAGACUGACGCUGAGGCGCGAAAGCAUGGGGAUCAAACAGGAUUAGAUACCCUGGUAGUCCAUGCUGUAAACGAUGUUCACUAGGAGUUGGCGGUAUCCGUUAGCUCCGUAGCAAACGCAUUAAGUGAACCGCCUGGGGAGUACGGCCGCAAGGUUGAAACUCAAAGAAAUUGACGGGGGCCCGCACAAGCGGUGGAGUACGUGGUUUAAUUCGAUGAUAAACGAAGAACCUUACCAGGGUUUGACAUGUAUCUGCAAUCUGCCGAAAGGUAGAGUUCCCGUAAGGGACGGAUACACAGGUGCUGCAUGGCUGUCGUCAGCUCGUGCCGUGAGGUGUUGGGUUAAGUCCCGCAACGAGCGCAACCCUUACUCUUAGUUGCUACAUUCAGUUGAGCACUCUAAGAGGACUGCCGGCGAUAAGCCGGAGGAAGGAGGGGAUGAGGUCAAGUCAUCAUGGCCUUUAUAUCCUGGGCUACACACAUACUACAAUGGUUAUCACAGCGGGGAGCGAAGUGGCGACAUGGAGCGAAUCCUCAAAGGUAACCUCAAUACGGAUUGUAGUCUGCAACUCGACUACAUGAAACUGGAAUCGCUAGUAAUCGCGGGUCAGCAAAACCGCGGUGAAUACGUUCUCGGGCCUUGUACACACCGCCCGUCACACCAUCCGAGUUGGCUUUUCCUAAAGCUGGUUACUCCAACCGUAAGGGGGAGGCUGGUAAAGGAGGAGUUGGUAAGGAGGGUGAAGUCGUAACAAGGUA